GUUUUUCUAUUCAUUUCUACAACUAAUUGAUUCUGGUUAGGCUUUCUAUACAUGUUUCAGUUGUGUUGUAUUCGCUCAAAAUAACAGUAUCGUUUUUUUUUUCCUCUUUUCCCCUUUUCCUACACUCUAUAGUAGCAUUCCGUAUGUACUGAUUCCAUAUUCACUGUGCCUUACACAAUGUGUGCAAUCUUUAACUACAAUUAUGUUAUCAAAGCUUUUGAUCCCGUCAACUCCAUCAAAUUCAAAAUAAUAUUUGAAGUCAGCCUACUAGCAUCUGGAGUUGAAAGUGUCUUUAAAGAUUGACAAUAACCAGUUUUUCUUGAAUUUGUUGAAGGUGCAGAGAACCAGUUUUGAAGAGCUCCAAAGAGGUGGUAAAAGGCAUGUUUGAAUCAGAAAACAAAGAGGAAGAGAAGUGCAAAGAACGCAAUAGUGUUGGCCGUGGGGAGUGCUUUGGAGACGCUGUGCAGACUGAUUGGUGAUGGACAAAUACAUAUACUUGGGGUUUACACAGUGUUUCAAUCGCUCCUCAUUGGGAUACUCUGCACGAUAUUAGUACUGGCAGUAAGAAAUCAUCAGGCCAAUCUUUUCACAAACAUCAAGGAUUUACAACGAGCCAUUCGACCUUGCUUGGCUUCUCGAAAUAACCAUGCUUCGUAAUAGUGUUCAGCCUGUAAUAUCAGUUGUUGCUAUUGGAGGUGGAUGGCAAGGUUUAGUGGCUUAUAUCAAAUUGGGAUCUUACUAUGUUUCUGGUAUUCCUCUAGGAUAUACUCUUGCUUAUAUGGCUAACUUGGGAGUCGUGGGUCUAUGGGGAGGAAAGAUCCACAAGCUCACAAGUUGGUAGUAAGAAAAUUGGUUUAUUGCAACCGAUUCACGUCUUUUGGAAUUUCAUAUCUCAAAAUGAUGGCUUCUCAUUUCUUCUCUCCUUCAUAGGUCCUAUACAAGCCCAAAGACGAAACGUUACUGUAAGGCACCAUGAAGCAUCUCAGCGGCCUAUGGACGUAAAUGUAAAAAAAAGGACAGUUGUGCACCUCUUUAUUUACUCGCAAAGCUUUAGACUUUCACUCUUUUUUUCUUCAAAUGAUGAGGCUAUAAUUUAGAUGAAAUUUUAUUGAACACGGAUGAAAUAACAUAAAUACAGUUGGAUGACCUCUCAGAUGAAGGGAAUAUUAGAGGUGAAAACUUCAAAAUUUAUGAGUUCUAUUGGCAUAAUCUCUCUAAAUUAAAUGAAAGCAUCAGGGAGUUAAAAAGUUCCCACUGACUUUGAGUACUUUAUAUAUGAAUCCACCUUUAUCUUUUUGAUACUCACAACUUC